rnacentral:rRNA from 1 species
AGCGAACGCUGGCGGCAGGCCUAAUACAUGCAAGUCGAACGGCUUCUUCGGAAGCAGUGGCGGACGGGUGAGUAACGCGUGGGAACGUGCCCUUUGGUACGGAACAACUGAGGGAAACUUCAGCUAAUACCGUAUGUGCCCUUCGGGGAAGAUUAUCGCCAUUGGAGCGGCCCGCGUUAGAUUAGCUAGUUGGUGGGGUAAAGGCCUACCAAGGCAACGAUCUAUAGCUGGUCUGAGAGGAUGAUCAGCCACACUGGGACUGAGACACGGCCCAGACUCCUACGGGAGGCAGCAGUAGGGAAUCUUGCGCAAUGGGCGAAAGCCUGACGCAACCAUGCCGCGUGAAUGAUGAAGGUCUUAGGAUUGUAAAAUUCUUUCACCGGGGACGAUAAUGACGGUACCCGGAGAAGAAGCUCCGGCUAACUUCGUGCCAGCAGCCGCGGUAAAGUCUGUACU